GCCUAGGUGGCUCAGUCGGUUGAGUGUCUGACUUUGGUUCAGAUCAUGAUCUCGCCCUUUGUGGGUUUGAGCCCCACAUCAAGUU
rnacentral:tRNA from 1 species